GGGAGCUGGAGCUGGCUGGCCUAGGAUGGCGUUGGCUUGUGUCACUGGCCUCUGCCUGGGCGGAAUUGAGAGAGACAGACAGAGAGGGAGUGGGAAGAAGCACACAGGCCUUUUGAGGCUGAGGCUGAGGCUCAGAAGGGCCACCCAGUGACAAUCACCUCCUCAAGGAAGCCUCCUUGGCUGCCCUGGAGCCGGGUGAGUCCUUGCUGCUCCUUAGAGGCCAACAUACCGCUUUCCUUCACAGAACUCGCCAGAAUUCCAUUCCAAUACUGACUUGCUUGAUUACGUGUCUAGUGCCUGUCUCCCCUACCAGAAUGCAAGCUCAGUGAGGGAGGGCUCGUGGGCAUUGUUUGCAUAUGUGUUCUGCCUUAUACUAACAGCUGAGGAAGUGUGUGUGCUAUAACAACCUGAUUUAAUAAAGAAAGGACACUGCUUAGCACAGGUAGACAAUAAACCUUGCUCUUUUUCUCAGUCUGUGGCCCACUACUUUAAUCUUUGCUCUCCUAAAUCAGUUCUCCUUGGAGAAAGUGACGUGUUUCACGAGGAUCUACUUUUUAGAAGAGGUUAUGCAAAGCGACUCUAUUAGGCUGUGCAUAAUUCCAGACACCCCACUGGACUAAAGCCAUUCAGAUGCAGAUCACGCGCCAGGAUCAUAUCUGGAAUCUACAUACCUGGGCUUAAAUUCAGCCUGUGCCAGUCACUGUUUGUGUGAAUGUUGGAGAAGGACCAAUCUCAUUACACCUCAGUUUCCCCUCUAAAGGAGAAUAAAAAUGGCUGCCUCUCAGGAUUUGGUUAUUAUUCUCUUUUCCAUGUGUUUACAAAGCCUGCCACAUGACAGACACUCCAUCAAUGUUAGUCCCCCUCUCCCCUGUUCAUGUUUUCUUUCUUUUGUCUUGGCUGUCUGGAAGAAAACCCAGCACACAGUAAGUUCUCCAUUUAAGAGUAGAAAAUUAAACUGACAACACUUUGCUGUUAGCCAAAGCAGAAGAACCAAAGGGCACGUUUGGAGAGAAUGAAGGUCAGUUCAGCUUCUGCGGCAGACGAGACGUUAGGUGGAGUGGUGCUGGGGCAGUGGGAAACACAGGACUGCGACGUGGGCCCAAGUGAAAAGGUUUGAGAGGAAUCUACCCAGUGCCAACAGCCCUGUAAGGGUCUGGAGCCAAAAAGAACAGUGCUAGAAUUUUCUCACUGUGGUUUUCUCUUAGCAAAAAAGGGGAGAAAAACUGUUAUGGGAAGCGCAUAUGUGGACUCUCUGUCCAACUCAGGCCAGUAUCUCUGAGGACAUCCUGAAGCCUCUGAGGCAGCCUUUGCAGCUUCCGAAGUGAGCUCACAAUUCUCCAAGUGGUGGACGAACCCCCAGUUUACAGAGUUGGGGCUGCAGGCAAACUACAUCUGCAUGGAGACUUCCUUGACGGCUUUUGGUUCAGGAUUGGGGUGCAGAUGCCCAUCGAUGUAGACCAAGGGACAGAGUGCAGAGGGCCGACGGGGCGCAGCCUUGGGCCUCUGGCUCAUCCCAGCUGGAGUGGAGAUCAGGGUCAUGGAUGCCAGUUCCCUGGAAGCUCAAAUAUCCUGGAUUCCCAGUGCUGCAGGCUGUGGCACCCAAAGAAAGAACACACUUCUUAUGCCUUUAUUCUGUGAGUUGUUCUGAAGAAUUCUGCUGGGUUCCAUCUUUGGUUUUCAGCUCUCUAUCGUUUGACUCCCAUGUCUGGGGCCCGAAGCUACACCACAGCCUGGCAAUGGACACUCAGGGGCUGCAGAACUGUGUUUGUUUUACAACAGACUCAUCUAUCCAUCAGUGAAAAUUCUCAUGUUCCUCUCAGCCUCGGAAGCCACGUGUGUGAUCCUAAUCCCACAGACUAAGCACGGGGCCAGGUGGCUUCUCCCAGAAGAGUGCUCUCACUGGACCACACCAUGUCUGUCUCCCAGCUGUGGGAACUCUAGGGUGCUUGAGGAAUUUCAGUAGGGAGUUGGAUCUACCCCAUAUUGGAGCCCUCAUCGACACACACCAUUGGUAAUGGCCAUAGCCCUCAGCUUCACAGCUUGUAUGGGUAGAUCCUCUUAUCAGCAUUAUCUUAUUUAAAUACUUGCAGAUCCAACAUCACUUAUAGCCCCCAAAUCUUAAACCUCAAGAAAAGCAAAAAUAGUUUCUGCUAAGGAACACGCUGCGGCCCCUUGGUGAUAGAAGUCCUGUAGCACGCUGUGUUAGGCCGUUCUCCCACUGCUAUAAAGAACUACCCGAGAGACUGGGUAAUUAUAAAGAAAAGAGGUUUAGUCAGCUUACGGUUCUGCAGGCUUUACAGGAAACGUGGCUGGGAGGCCUCAGGGAACUCUUAAUCAUGGUGGAAGGCAAAGGGGAACCAGGCACGUCUUACGUGACCAGAGCAAGAGGAAGAGAGAGAGAGCGGGGAGGUGCCACACACUUUCAAACAACCAGAUCUCCCAGCACUCAUGAUCACGAGAACAGCAAGGGGGAAAUCCGCCCCAUGAUCCAAUCACCUCCCACCAGGCUUCACCUCCAACACUGCAGAUUACAAUUCGACAUGAGAUUUGGGUGGGGACACAGAUCCAAAACACGCACAUGCCAACCUCUCAGCUUGAUGGACUGUGAUGGGCUUAUUUUCUUAAGUGAGCUAUCAAUUAACUAUGUGAAAGUCAGGUUUCUUUAAAAAUUCACUUAUUUAGGUUUGUUUGUUUUAAUAAUCUUUUUAUUUCUGAAUAGUUUUAGAUUUACUGAAAAGUUGUGAAGAUCAGUCCGAGUGCCCAUCUCUCUCCAUUACCAACACCUAACCUACAUCUAGCUCAUUUAUCACAAUUAAUAAGUUACUAUUUCUACAUUAUUACCUAAAGCCUGUAAUGUAUUCAGGUGGACAUAGCUGUCACUGACACCUUUUUUGACCCAGGAUCCCACAGGACAUUGAGCCAUCGUGUCUCCUUGGGCUCCGCCUGGCUGGGACAGUUUCUGGGACUUCCCUAGUUUUUGUUAACAGCUGUGAGGAGUGCUGGCUGGGUGUGUUUUGUAGGAUGCCCCCUCCAGUGGGGUUUUGCUGAGGUUUAUCUUGAUGGUUAGACUUGGGUUCUGUGUUUGGGGAGGAAGAUGCAGAGGUAAGUGUCCUCCCAUCAC
rnacentral:lncRNA from 1 species